GAGGAAGGCGGGGGGCGCGCCUAACACAUGCAAGUCGAACGAUUAAAGCACCUUCGGGUGUGUAUAAAGUGGCGAACGGCUGAGUAACACGUGGGCAACCUGCCCCUUUCAUUGGGAUAGCCACGGGAAACCGUGGAUAAUACCGAAUACUUCGAGACUUCCGCAUGGAAGACUCGAGAAAGCUCCGGCGGAGAGGGAUGGGCCCGCGGCCUGUUAGCUUGUUGGUGGGGUAACGGCCUACCAAGGCAAUGAUGGGUAGCUGGGUUGAGAGACCGACCAGCCAGAUUGGGACUGAGACACGGCCCAGACUCCUACGGGAGGCAGCAGUGGGGAAUCUUGCACAAUGGGCGAAAGCCUGAUGCAGCGACGCCGCGUGCGGGAUGAAGGCCUUCGGGUUGUAAACCGCUUUCAGCAGGGACGAGGCGAAAGUGACGGUACCUGCAGAAGAAGCCCCGGCUAACUACGUG
rnacentral:rRNA from 1 species